UACGGAGGGUGCGAGCGUUGUCCGGAAUCACUGGGCGUAAAGGGCGCGUAGGCGGCUUUAUAAGUCGGGGGUGAAAGCCUGUGGCUCAACCACAGAAUUGCCUUCGAUACUGUAGAGCUUGAGACCGGAAGAGGUAAGUGGAAACUGCGAGUGUAGAGGUGAAAAUUCGUAGAUAUUCGCAAGAACACCAGUGGCGAAGGCGGCUUACUGGUCCGGUUCUGACGCUGAGGCGCGAAAAGCGUGGGGGAGCAAACAGG
rnacentral:rRNA from 1 species